rnacentral:rRNA from 1 species
GGUUAAGCGACUAAGCGUACACGGUGGAUGCCCUGGCAGUCAGAGGCGAUGAAGGACGUGCUAAUCUGCGAUAAGCGUCGGUAAGGUGAUAUGAACCGUUAUAACCGGCGAUUUCCGAAUGGGGAAACCCAGUGUGAUUCGUCACACUAUCAUUAACUGAAUCCAUAGGUUAAUGAGGCGAACCGGGGGAACUGAAACAUCUAAGUACCCCGAGGAAAAGAAAUCAACCGAGAUUCCCCCAGUAGCGGCGAGCGAACGGGGAGCAGCCCAGAGCCUGAAUCAGUGUGUGUGUUAGUGGAAGCGUCUGGAAAGGCGCGCGAUACAGGGUGACAGCCCCGUACACAAAAAUGCACAUGCUGUGAGCUCGAUGAGUAGGGCGGGACACGUGGUAUCCUGUCUGAAUAUGGGGGGACCAUCCUCCAAGGCUAAAUACUCCUGACUGACCGAUAGUGAACCAGUACCGUGAGGGAAAGGCGAAAAGAACCCCGGCGAGGGGAGUGAAAAAGAACCUGAAACCGUGUACGUACAAGCAGUGGGAGCCUCUUUUAUGGGGUGACUGCGUACCUUUUGUAUAAUGGGUCAGCGACUUAUAUUCUGUAGCAAGGUUAACCGAAUAGGGGAGCCGAAGGGAAACCGAGUCUUAACUGGGCGUUAAGUUGCAGGGUAUAGACCCGAAACCCGGUGAUCUAGCCAUGGGCAGGUUGAAGGUUGGGUAACACUAACUGGAGGACCGAACCGACUAAUGUUGAAAAAUUAGCGGAUGACUUGUGGCUGGGGGUGAAAGGCCAAUCAAACCGGGAGAUAGCUGGUUCUCCCCGAAAGCUAUUUAGGUAGCGCCUCGUGAAUUCAUCUCCGGGGGUAGAGCACUGUUUCGGCAAGGGGGUCAUCCCGACUUACCAACCCGAUGCAAACUGCGAAUACCGGAGAAUGUUAUCACGGGAGACACACGGCGGGUGCUAACGUCCGUCGUGAAGAGGGAAACAACCCAGACCGCCAGCUAAGGUCCCAAAGUCAUGGUUAAGUGGGAAACGAUGUGGGAAGGCCCAGACAGCCAGGAUGUUGGCUUAGAAGCAGCCAUCAUUUAAAGAAAGCGUAAUAGCUCACUGGUCGAGUCGGCCUGCGCGGAAGAUGUAACGGGGCUAAACCAUGCACCGAAGCUGCGGCAGCGACGCUUAUGCGUUGUUGGGUAGGGGAGCGUUCUGUAAGCCUGUGAAGGUGUGCUGUGAGGCAUGCUGGAGGUAUCAGAAGUGCGAAUGCUGACAUAAGUAACGAUAAAGCGGGUGAAAAGCCCGCUCGCCGGAAGACCAAGGGUUCCUGUCCAACGUUAAUCGGGGCAGGGUGAGUCGACCCCUAAGGCGAGGCCGAAAGGCGUAGUCGAUGGGAAACAGGUUAAUAUUCCUGUACUUGGUGUUACUGCGAAGGGGGGACGGAGAAGGCUAUGUUGGCCGGGCGACGGUUGUCCCGGUUUAAGCGUGUAGGCUGGUUUUCCAGGCAAAUCCGGAAAAUCAAGGCUGAGGCGUGAUGACGAGGCACUACGGUGCUGAAGCAACAAAUGCCCUGCUUCCAGGAAAAGCCUCUAAGCAUCAGGUAACAUCAAAUCGUACCCCAAACCGACACAGGUGGUCAGGUAGAGAAUACCAAGGCGCUUGAGAGAACUCGGGUGAAGGAACUAGGCAAAAUGGUGCCGUAACUUCGGGAGAAGGCACGCUGAUAUGUAGGUGAAGUCCCUCGCGGAUGGAGCUGAAAUCAGUCGAAGAUACCAGCUGGCUGCAACUGUUUAUUAAAAACACAGCACUGUGCAAACACGAAAGUGGACGUAUACGGUGUGACGCCUGCCCGGUGCCGGAAGGUUAAUUGAUGGGGUUAGCGGUAACGCGAAGCUCUUGAUCGAAGCCCCGGUAAACGGCGGCCGUAACUAUAACGGUCCUAAGGUAGCGAAAUUCCUUGUCGGGUAAGUUCCGACCUGCACGAAUGGCGUAAUGAUGGCCAGGCUGUCUCCACCCGAGACUCAGUGAAAUUGAACUCGCUGUGAAGAUGCAGUGUACCCGCGGCAAGACGGAAAGACCCCGUGAACCUUUACUAUAGCUUGACACUGAACAUUGAGCCUUGAUGUGUAGGAUAGGUGGGAGGCUUUGAAGUGUGGACGCCAGUCUGCAUGGAGCCGACCUUGAAAUACCACCCUUUAAUGUUUGAUGUUCUAACGU